rnacentral:rRNA from 1 species
ACGGAAGGCAGCAGUGGGGAAUAUUGCACAAUGGGCGCAAGCCUGAUGCAGCAACGCCGCGUGAGGGAAGACGGUCUUCGGAUUGUAAACUCCUGUCUUAAAGGACGAUAAUGACGGUACUUUAGGAGGAAGCUCCGGCUAACUACGUGCCAGCAGCCGCGGUAAUACGUAGGGAGCGAGCGUUGUCCGGAAUUACUGGGUGUAAAGGGAGCGUAGGCGGGAUUGCAAGUCAGAUGUGAAAUAUACGGGCUCAACCUGUAGACUGCAUUUGAAACUGUAGUUCUUGAGUGAAGUAGAGGCAAGCGGAAUUCCUGGUGUAGCGGUGAAAUGCGUAGAUAUCAGGAGGAACACCGGUGGCGAAGGCGGCUUGCUGGGCUUUUACUGACGCUGAGGCUCGAAAGCGUGGGGAGCAAACAGGAUUAGAUACCCUGGUA